AUACUGAUUUUUUUUUUGACGAUAUUGAUUCUGAUGAAGAUGAAGGGGGACUGUUUGGAAGUAAAAAAACUUAAGGUAAAAGUUCCAGAAAUGUGAAGCACAAAGAUUUUUUUGGUCCAGUUGAAAGUGAUGAAGACAUAGCAAGUGAUCAUGACGAUAAGCUGGGUUCAAACAAGAUGAUGAAAUUGCUGAAGAAGAGGCAGAAGAACUAAGCAUUUCUGAAAUAUGAAUGACAAAAAUUACAUCUUUAGAAAAAGAGUUAUUAGAAAAAAGCCUUGUCAGCAUCGGGGGGAAGUGACAGCACGGAAGAGACCAGAGAAUAGCCUCUUGAAGGAGACCCUGCACUCUGACCAUGCUGUCCGAAUGGUGCCUGUAAUUACAGAGGAAACGCCUUUCAACUGGAAGCUAUCAUUAAACAGAGGAUAAGGGAUCAGGUCAGUAAGAAUUUAAUUUAAUUUAAUUGAAAUGUCACUGAAAUUUUUAGAAAUAAUAUGACUGGCCAGGCACAGUGGCUCAUGCCUGUAAUCCCAGCACUUUGGGAGGCCAAGGCAGAUGGAUCACUUGAGGUCAGGAGUUUGAGACCAGUCUGUCCAAGAUGGUGAAACUCCCUUUCUACUAAAAAUACAAAAAUUAGCUGGGCAUGGUGGUGCAUGCCUGCAGUCCCAGCUACUCAGGAGGCUGAGUCAGGGGAAUCACUUGAACUUGAGAGAUGGAGGUUGCAGUGAGCUGAGAUGCGCCACUGUACUCCAGCCUGGGCAACAGGGUGAGACUCCAUCUCAAAAUCAAUCAGUCAAUCAAUCAAUAAAAAUAAAAAAUAAAGGGAAGAUGUGUCA
rnacentral:lncRNA from 1 species